UAUAGAAAAAAUUGGGGGGAGGAUGCAUGCACUCUCAUGAUUAGAAAGAUAGCAAAAGGACAAGACAAUAUUCUAUGUACUAUGAAUUUUUUUGUUUCAUGCACCCUGUGUACGUAGUAUGAAAAAUUUUAUAAGAAAAAAGGUUAUCUUGUGGGUGAGAUACUAUUUCUAUUGGACUUAAAAAAGUAAAAGACAAUUUACAAAUAAUUCAUGGUGAAAUUGGAAUGAAAACAGGAGAUUUAGAAUUUUCUGUAAGGAAUAUAGUUUUUUUUGAAGAAAAUAUACAGUGUAAAAAAAAUAUUAAACUUUGAAUAUAUGCCGGAAUUAUUUUUCUUAGGCUAGAUUUAAAAUUUCGUGUCAUUCUGACACUCCAAAAGUGAGGACGGAAAAUAGUAGCAAUCUGAUAAAGAUUUUAGUUAGUAGACCUUUCGGCGACAAAGAAAAUUAAGGUUCAGAACUGAAAAAUUAAGAUAACGUUCUUCUGGUUGAUUUUAACUAAGCUUGCCUUUAAAAUCAUUAUUGUUUAAGAUGAUACAGAGGGUGCAUGGAACAAAAUUUUCCAUAGUACAUGCCCCUUUAACAUAGCCUCUUGCCUUUAAAAUCAUUAUUGUUUAACAUGAUACAGAGGGUGCAUGAAACAAAAUUUUGCAUAGUAUAUGCCCAUUUAACAUAGCCCAUGUGAGUCUAUGUGAGGGAGGGAGAGCAUGUGAGGGAGAGAGGGAAAACCCAUAUAAAAAGAAGGCCACGUGGCUCGAUGGAGGAACGGCAUUUGGUUUCAACUUUAGUAUAGAGUUUAAUGAGUAAGAAAAAAGGUUAUCUUGUGGGUGAGAUACUAUUUCUAUUGGACUUAAAAAAGUAAAAGACAAUUUACAAAUAAUUCAUGGUGAAAUUGGAAUGAAAACAGGAGAUUUAGAAUUUUCUGUAAGGAAUAUAGUUUUUUUUUAGAAGAAAAUGCACAGUGCAAAAAAAAUAUUAAACUUUGAAUAUAUGCCGAAGUUAUUUUUCUUAGGCUAGAUUUAAAAUUUCGUGUCAUUCUAACACUCCAAAAGUGAGGACGGAAAAUAGUAGCAAUCUGAUAAAGAUUUUAAUUGGUAGACCUUUCGGCGACAAAGAAAAGGUCCAGAACUGUAAAAUUAAGAUGAUAUUCUUCUGGUUGAUUUUAACUAAGCUUGCCUUUAAAAUCAUUAUUGUUUAACAUGAUACAGAGGGUGCAUGGAACAAAAUUUUUCAUAGUACAAGCCCCUUUAACAUAGCCUCUUUCCUUUAAAAUCAUUAUUGUUUAACAUGAUACAGAGGGUGCAUGAAACAAAAUUUUGUAUAGUACAUGCCCAUUUAACAUAGCCCAUGUGAGUCCAUGUGAGGGAGGGAGAGCAUGCGAGGGAGAGAGAGAAAACUCAUAUAAAAAAAAAGCCACGUGGCUCGAUAGAGGAACGGCAUUUGGUUUCAACUUUAGUAUAGAGUUAAAUAACUAUUAAGGAUAAUUAUUUAUAUAUCUCUCAAAACUUCAAAAAUAUCUAAUUUAUUUCUAUUUCAUUUUUGUUUUUAAUAUAACUCUCAUAUGUUCCUCCGCUAUUUAAAAAUACUUCCGCAGUUAUCACCCACUAAGUUAUCUAAGGUUAAACGUAAGUUAAAUAUCUAUCAGAAUUAAAAUCAAAAUAUCUCUUUUGUCUUUAAUUUAAUCGCAAAUAAGAAAAGUUGGGAAUGAGGGAAGGAUAUAUUUGAAAAGAUAAAAAAUCAAAAUAUUUCUUUUGCUCCCUAACUUAAGGGUAAAUAAGAAAAAUUAGUGAUGGUAGAAGAAUAUAUUUAAAAGGGCAAAAUAGUAAUUUUACGUAAAUAACGAAUAUUGCUAAUAGUUCACUAAAGAAUUUAACUAUAAGAGUAUAUUUGAAAUAACUUAGAAUGUAAAAAAUGUGUUUUUAAUAUUAAUCUUCUUAAAGGGAUAAAUCAAAAAGUCAAAAAAUUUUCAGGAGUAUAUAAGCAAUUGUUCCUAGCUAUUAUAA
rnacentral:lncRNA from 1 species